UACGAAGGGUGCAAGCGUUACUCGGAAUUACUGGGCGUAAAGCGUGCGUAGGCGGUUUGUUAAGUCCGUUGUGAAAGCCCUGGGCUCAACCUGGGAAUUGCAGUGGAUACUGGCGAGCUAGAGUGCGGUAGAGGAUGGUGGAAUUCCCGGUGUAGAGGUGAAAUUCGUAGAUAUCGAGAGGAACACCGGUGGCGAAGGCGGCGAUCUGGACGAUGACUGACGCUGAGACACGAAAGCGUGGGGAGCAAACAGG
rnacentral:rRNA from 1 species